rnacentral:lncRNA from 1 species
AGAAAACACUCCCAAUAAGAUUGCUUGCUCCAAAAUCGAAGAGGCACCGUCCUCCGAAUCUCGAGAGCCUGACUCCCAACAUGACUACUUUCUUAAAAAUCGAAGAGAGGGUAAAGGAACAGUACCAUUGCUGGAUAACUGGAAAGUCCCUGUGUGUCAACCUCUGUGCUUCGUGGCAAGGUAGACUAGCAAACAUGCCCAACCUUUACUCACAUUCGAGAAAACACUCCCAACAAGAUUGCUUGCUCCAAAAUCGAAGAGGCACCGCCCUCCGAAUCUCGAGAGCCAGACUCCCAACAUGAUUACUUUCUCAAAAAUCGAAGAGACACUGCUCCCCGAAUCUUCGAGAGCCAGACCCCAGCAUG